UACGGAGGGGGCUAGCGUUGUUCGGAAUUACUGGGCGUAAAGCGCACGUAGGCGGCUUUGUAAGUUAGAGGUGAAAGCCCGGGGCUCAACCCCGGAAUUGCCUUCGAUACUGGACAUCUUGAGUACGGGAGAGGUGAGUGGAACUCCGAGUGUAGAGGUGAAAUUCGUAGAUAUUCGGAAGAACACCAGUGGCGAAGGCGACUCACUGGCCCGUUACUGACGCUGAGGCGCGAAAGCGUGGGGAGCAAACAGG
rnacentral:rRNA from 1 species